UUAUCUUCUCUUGCUCAAGGGACACGCCAACUGUGAACUCUUCCCUCCUCACCUCCUGGCAGGGAGAUGGGUAAUUCCAAAGCUCAUAUAUACCCCAAAGUAGCCUUUUUAGGUUUUGUCCCUCUCCCUUUGGGUCUUUUAUAACACAGCUGUCUACAUGAAGAGAAGAAAGUCAGCACCAAGCUGAUGGACUCUAAGUGAUCACAGAUACAAAGAGACAGUGGUUUCUGAGUAGGUGCAAUGUUAUGAAACAGGGUGAAAACUAUCAAGCACAGGUGGGUGUCUGCUACUGAGAGGGACUGCAAAGAGCCGAGACAGCCCAUCAGGUAAGCAGGCCUCGAUAUAGGACCAAGAAGCAAGUGCUGGGCACCUCCAGAGGAUCCCAUGUGGCUGCCCUCAAUCAUCCAGAAGAGCAGAAAGUAAGCUGAUACAAACCACGUUCUUCAUGGCCUGCGAUGGGGCACAUGAACCCAUGACUGCAUGAGUAAAUGUCGCCGCAGGGCUCUGUGUGGAGUGUGACUGGGGGGGUGUGGAUCCUUAGCAAAAUGAAUCAAGAGGCAAACUUUGCCUGUGAUGGCAACACCACUCAGGUCCCCCACUUCUCCUGUCUUUGGGGUUGACUUGCUCCAGUUGGAAAGCAGCUUCCCUGAAGCUGCUUUUCCUGCCCUUUCUCCCCCAGGAAGCUGACGGGAGGAGGAAAAUGAAGUAUCUGAUGCAGGGCUAAGGUUAGACAGAAAACAUAAGAACAAGGAGGAAAAGAAGCCCUCUGAGACUCUUGGGUGAGGACAUUGAGGGACAGAAUAUAUAUUUCUAGGGUCCCUAGUUGGCAUUCGGAACAUUUUUCCCCAUACACCAGUGUUUCUUAACCAGAGGUAAUUGUGUUCCACAGGAGACAUUUCGUAAUGCCUGGAGACAGUUUUGCUUGUUACAUCUGAGAAGGGGGUGCCACUGGCAUCCCUGAGUAGAGGCCAGGCAUGUUGCCGCGCAUCCUACAAUGCACAGGACAGCCCUUGCCACAAAUAAUUGUCUGUCCCAAAAUGUCAGUAGUGCCAAGGUUGAGAAACUAUAUCAUAGAACAAUGAUGUAUUUGGUAAUUUUGCUUAAUAACUCAACCAUAGUGGCUUAAAUAGGUUUUGAAGAUUUCCUGUAUUUAUUCAUUUAUUUAUUUUGACAGGGUUCCCCUCUGUCACCCAGGCUAGGAUGCAGUGGCACAACACAGCUCAUUGCAGCCUUGAACUUCCAGGCUCAAGUGAUCCUCCCACCUCAGCCUCCUGAGUAGCUGGGACUACAGGUAUGCACCACCACACCUGACUGAUUUUUAAAAUUUUUAUAGAGAUGAGUUCUCGCUAUGUUGCCCAGGCUGGUCUCAAACUCUUGUGCUCAAGCAAUCCUCCCGCCUGGGCCUCCCAAAGUGCUAGGAUUACAGGCAUGAGCCACUAAGCCCGGCCAAGCUUGACUUUAAUAUCUCGCUACAUGUCUCUACUAGAGAGUAUCUUUUAAGCUUCACUUGGUCAAAUAACAGUAAUUACAUGGCUCACACAUAGCAGGUACAUACAUCACUUUGUUCAUUUCCUUCACAGCACUAAUCAUAAAGGGGAACAACCUUUUAAAUUUGCUUAAUUAAUAGCUUUCUGCUCCAACUAGGAUACAACCUCCUAGAAUAUUGCCUGAUCUAGAGUAGACACUCAAUAAACAUUUGCUGAAUGAAUGAAUUCAGACAGUUAGCUACUGCCUGUUUCUUCUUAUAGGCAGAAGCCAUCUCUCGUGUAUGUGUCUAUAUCUAUAGCAGCUAGCGCAGAUUUUUAUAUAUACAGAAAACUCAACAACUGAUCUCUGAAACCAUGAAUCAAGGCGUGUGAAUGAAUAAAUGAGUUAAUUAAUAUAUAAAUGAACAGGCAAACAGUACUAAUAUUCCUAUGUCCACUGUGAAAAAAUUAGUAAGCAUGCAUGCUACUACAGAGGAUAUUUCAGAAUGCAUGGUGAGUUUAAGGGCCUUGUUCUACGCUCCAGCUUCCUCUCUGUAGAACUUUCUCCCCGGGAGUCAGGUGAAGAGUACAGAUUGAGUGCUAGAGACAGUGGUUUUCAGCAGAACUCUGAACCUAAGCUAAGGAAGUGAUGACUCCUCUCCCUUCCUAACUAUUUUCUAAGAAUGUUUUGGCCCUCUGCCAUCAAAGGAUGAAUGCUACAAGUAGUGUAAGUUAGUAAUAUGGCGAGUGUGAUGAUUCAAAUGGCUCAAAGGAGGCAAAAAAAAGUCUUUGUUGCACAGUUCUCUUUCCUAUUCUUUUCUAUAAAUAGCAUGUUGAUUUUUAAGAGCUGCCAGAUUUUAUAAACUUCUUUUCCAGAGUGAUUUAUUAGUGUCAAGCAUUACUAUCAUCCUGUAGUUCUAAACUCCUCUCCUGUGGGCAGUAAUUUAGCCCUAGUUUUUUCUCUGUGAUAAACCUUUGCAUGAUUCGUGAGUCUCUAAUUAGGGAUCAUAGUUUCCUUGCAGGUCUCUGCAAAGAAACAGCCAACAAUCUCAGGUUAAGAGACUCAACACAAGAGAGAAACCAAUUUUGCAAAGUGUCCCAAUAAUGUCUCUCAUAGAACUUUUUCUCCCUGAGCCAGGAUCCAAAAUAGUGUCAUGCAUUGCACGUAGCUGUCAUGCCUCUUUAGUCUCCUUUAAUCUCGAACAGCUGAUGGGGGCAUAUUUGCAGCGAGUAUCCAUUAAAAAAUACUUACACUCUCCAGAUACAUCAGCUUGGUUAAUUGGAAAGCUCUUUAAUAAUUGUUUUAGUACAUAAAAUUAAGAGUUUCCACAAGAAUAAUUAAUCAUACAGUAUUUUAUAAUAAGAAAUAUUUAUAUAUCAACUGACUACGGAAUUUCAACUUGCAAAGCACAUAAAUGGAUUUUUCACCCUGAGUUACAUCUAAAAUGCUUACCUAUAUUUGAAAGUGAUGGAAAGCUGGUGAGUAAAUAUUCCCCUAUUCUGUUCCUUGGGUGGACAAUUCUGAGACACAUUCUACACAUUUUCUAAGAAGGUUCUGGCAGCAUUGAGAUGCAUGUGCUCACAAAGGUGUCAGUCUCAGUCUGUACGGGCUGCUAUGACAAACAUGCCACAGCCUGGGUGGCCAGCAUAGUCAGGUUCUGGUGAAGGCUCACUUUCCUAAUUCUAAGACAAUGUUCUUGUUGUGUCCUCACAUGGCAGAAGGGGAAGAAGUGAGAGAGAUAUUUGGGGUCUCUUUUAUAAGGGCACUAAUCAUUUUCAUGAGAGCUCCACUCUCAUGACCUAAUCACCUUGCAAAGAACCCACCUCCUAAGACCAUCACCUUAGGGGUCAGGAUUUCAACAUACACAUUUGGGGGAUCACAAACAUCCAGUCCAUGACAGUGACCAAAUUAAGAGCUCACCCUUGCAAGGAUCCAAGAAGGAAGACAAAAAAAAAAAAUCAGUUAAAAGAAAAAUAUGAUAGGAAAGUUGAAAGACAUUGAAAAUUGAAAGACAUUGAAAAUUGAAAAAGAUUCACUCAUGGAAACUCCAGAAGGAGAGAACAGAGAAAAUAGGGGAAGUAAUUGAAGAAAUAAAAUAAAAUUUCCCAAGCUGAAGAAAAGCACCAGUUGUCAGAUUGAAAAAGCCUGCUGAAUGACAUCUCCAGAGAGAAGAAAGCCAGUUACCUACAAUGAAAAGAGACAAAAAAUUGGCAUCGCGCUUCUCAUGUCAACAUGGAUAUUAGUCAACUAUGUGGCAAACCAUGGCAAUAGUUCAAUGGGUUGGUGGUGAAACCCUGUUGUUGUUUUGUUUUGUUUCAUUUUUGAGAUAGGGUUUUGCUAUAUCAUCGAGGCUGGUCUUGAACUUCCUGCCUCAAAUGAUCCUCCCCCCUUAGCCCUUUCAUGUAUUUCCUUCUUGGAGAGAGCUGUGUCUUCAUUUUUCUCUCCCUGAUUGUUGUAGCAGUCUGGAGUUAUCUUAAGCUCUGCUUUUCUAUUCUAGGCCCCUACACCAGGACGCCUUAAGGGAAGGAAGUUUGCUUGCUUCAGAGUGUAGUUCUCCACUUUUAACCUGGGAUCAAACACGUGUGUUGUGUGUAUAAACCAGGAGACAGGAGAGAGAUGGUUUCUGGGCUGUCCUCUCUGACCUGAUGCAGCUGUUUAUGACUCACUAGAAGCAUUGCUCCAUGGCUACUUCUCUUCUUGUUCCAUUUGUUCUCUCUAAGUUUGGAAUUUCCCCAAUUGGCCUUUCACUCACGGGUGUGUCGGGAUGUAGUUUUCUGUUCACGCCUGUUAUCAGUCUCCUCUCAUUCAUUUCUAUCUUCUUUCCAGGAAUGUCUCGAAUUUCCUGGUCUUUUAAUGGUGGUUUCAUUUCAUGUUUUCCUAGAAUGCUGUAAAUGUAUUCUUUCUAAAAUAUAGCUUUUUAUUUUAAUAGAUUCAGGAUUGGAGGGAAGGUGAAAGCUUGCACUGUUUGUCAACUAGAUCUAAUAUCAUUCAUGUGUAUAUAUAUGUAUAUCUGUUUUAUAUUUUUAUUUUGUGUACUAUAGAAAAAUUAU
rnacentral:lncRNA from 10 species